UGCACAAAAACAAAGCAAAAACAAUUAGCUCGUCGGAUAUAAAAUGAGUUGCACCUUCGACUUGCAGACGUUCAACGUGAAAGUAUCGUCUUCCGACGAUUCUAGUUGCUGCUCCUCGUCGACAAUUGGCUUCUCCACAUACACAGCCGCGUUGCAGGUUUCCUUGGAGGUGGGGUCCUUCGCGUCGACAGCGCAGCUUCGUACCCGGCACGUCGUAGGGAAGAUAUCCUCGUACGUGUACUUUAUACUGUGAACAUUCAUCCUUCAUUUUAUUACUCGAUAAAAAGAGAAAUUACGGAAGCGACCGGGACCGAAAAAAGUGCGACCGCGUGUUUCGUCGUCUGUACCUGCAACCGUUCUCCUGCUGCAUCGUGAAUUCCAAUUCACCCUGGCCAUUGUAGGAGAUGUCGGUGAAUUGCUCGGCAAACGUGGAUAUAAACGGCCCAAGGAUUUGGAAGGCCGUUAUUCGUACCCAUUUUGACUCGUCGUUCAGAUGUGCGGCUAGAAGAUCAGCUAGUAACAAUCUACGGUGCUGACGAGUCAUGCAGCAGGACACCGACAUCAUUACGUCGACGCAUGCUUUCCGGAUGCCCCAUAAUUUGUCGCAGCUCAGGUCGACGUAGAUGGGGAACUGCAGGAACAACAGAAACAAAAUAGAGGGCAACGUAUCGACGUAGGAAAAGCUUCUCCGUCGCCUCCUUCCCGAUCAGCGGGGCUAUGUCGAUCAUGAGCUGCACAUCGAUGUGAAACUAGACGUUACAUUUUGAGGUUUCUAAACCCGUCGAGCUCCUACGAUAGACUGAUCGAACGGAUGGUCGCCGAAGGAAAGGAGGCGGACAGCGAGGGAACGAAAGGGACUAGCGGCGAGUAACGAUUUGCACCGCGUAACGAUUCUGCGCGUGGCGACACUGCGCCUGGCGAUUCUGCGCGUGGCGAUGCUGUGCGUGGCGAUUCUGCGCGUGGCGGCGAUUCUGCGCGAGUCUCGGACAAAGAAACGCAACAUUUCGGACGUGUCGGCGUCUCUCACGCGCGAUAUAUAUUUCCCCUCGGUUUUCUACGCUCGUGGUCGUCCCCCGUGUUGAUUCGGAACGUCUCUCUCGUCCGGUCCGGCUUACGGUCGUGGUUUAACGAAGACAUAAAUCGCGCCGUUCCGCUCAUCAAAGCUGGCUGUGAUACGAGUCCAAGCCACCACAUCACAACCACUCUGAUGGGAGGAACAGUCGAACUCGCGUCGCCGAACACCUGGAAAUAAAUUCACCGCAGGAGGUGGUACCGAAACGAAUCGGAUCGAAUCGUAUCGAGUCGGACAGGGAUGCUGGAUACGCUCGCAUCUGUUUGAUCGAUCGGCUCUCGCGCGGGGGGACACGGGAGCCGGGUGCGGAUCGAUCGCCGCCCACGAUUUUCGAGGACCGUCUUCUUCUUCUCGGCGCCCGCAUGCGCGCCCCCGCUCGUCGAAAUCAGUGGGUCAUUGUUCAACGACGAAUUUAAUUGUUCGCAGGCUGGGGGCGGGGGGAGGUAGGCCGCCAGAAGUGAAUCAUCGCGCGGCGAGAACGCGACAGACGCGUCUGUGUAUGUGUCACUCUACGCACGUUCUCGCGUUCUCCGGCACGCUUUUCAAGGUUAUAUAAACGCUCUCCCAUAGAUUUUGGAAGACGCGUCUGUCGAUCAAUUUUGAUAUUUAAUUAUUAGCCUCGCUCGUACACGCAAUGGACAUACAUCGAGCAUGCAGAAUAAAUGUAACCCUUUGCACUCGAAACAGAUUUGUGGAAACGUUGAGAUUACGUUGUAGUCGGAGUCGAGUUCAAAGAAAAAUUGUGAUGUUGAUCGGUGAUUUUCUAGGAACCGAUGAAUAAAAGAUUUCGCGUUUUUAAUUAUGCAUUUUACGUGGCUACCUUACAGGUACAAAGAAAAAUAUGUAAUUGGAAACAGAUGGUGCGUUCCGAUAUGAAUAUAUUGUGUCGCAGUAUCGGCGAGAUCCGAAUGCGAAGGUUAAAUGUGUCUCGAUUCGUUUAAAAUCAUAAAGCGUUUAGCGACGGACACAUUUUUAGCAAACGCCGGCGAUUCUCCAGAAUACCUGGUAUAUCGUGGCGUUGCUGCAUUUCCAUGCUCAUCGGCAAGAGCUAGAAUACAUAAAAGGUGCGGUACAAUUAGAAACGAGUUCUCAUUUUUUUACUAAUUUACUAUCUAAACGGCGAUCAUAAUUUUCUAUCGAACGCCCCUGAUUUCCAAAUAGACGCGGUAUUUCACUGGAAGUUCCUACUCUAAAUACUUAGUAAUUCUUACCCUUGCGUACAUAUAAAGGUCCGAAACAAGGGGAAGCGAGUUCUUUUUCCUUACUAUCCUUAUUAUCUAAGAGGCAAUUAGACACUUUUUCCCGUCUUAUCCUAUUGACACGACGGGUAAGAAGGGAGGAUAUAAACGCGAAAGUACCUUCUUGUCUUGUGAUUGCUAUGAUUCCUUUGACUAUCACCCGCGAUACUCCGGGACACCUGGUAUAUCGCGGCGUUGCAACAUCUAUACAUGGGACACGGAUAGGUACAGAACAAGUAGAAGCAAGUUCUUAUUCUUUUACUGACUAACCAUCUAAGAGUUGAUUAUUAUAAAUUGCUACUGAUCGCCCCGCGAUUCCCUGGGACAGCUGGUAUGUCGCGGGACGUUUCAAUACACUAACAUUUGAUCCUACGGGAUGAGUAAAAGAUAUAUAGAACAAGUGGAAAAACGAGUUCUUAUUCCUUCACGAUCUUAUUAUUUAAGAAGCAAUUAGGCACCCGUCGUCUCUUGCUAACUUCGGCAGUAGGACAGCUAGCAAGGGGGGGGGGGGUUUCGUCAUGCGGUUUCGUCGUAUGAACGCUAUAUUAUUUACACGACCGCGCGUACAAUUCUCCGAGGCAUCCGGUAUAUGGCGGGGUUACUACAUAUAUUUCACGGACUUCAUCGGAUACGUAAAAGAUACAGAACAAGGGCAGACGCAUUCUCGUUCUUUUACUGACUUAAUAUCUAACAGGUGAUUAUUAUACUUUUUUCUAUCAACCAUCUACCAUUCCCUGGGACACCAGGUACAUCGCGAGACCUUUCUACGUUAAUGAAACUGUCGGAACCGACGAGCAAAAGGUUCAAAACAAGCGAACAAGUGUACAUCGAGUUCUUUCCCUUUUACUAUUUUAUUAUCUCCGAGACAAAUAGGCACGCUCCCUCUGGUACUAGCUGUUACAUUAGGGCAGCUAAUAAGAGGGGAGAGGAGGGAUAUAUACGCUAAGGUGCUUUUCUUGUCGUGUUGAUUGUUGUACCAUUUUGACAAAUGCGCUAGGUUGGCCGGCACACCCGAUAUGUCGGGCGUUCCUAUAAACGCAUGUGCAGUCAAAUCCGGAUGUGUAAAAGAUGUAGGACAAGUAAAAACAAGUUCACAUUCUUGUGCCGAUUCGUUAUCUAUUCGUGCUCUUUUAUCGGUCGCUCACGAUUCCCUGGGACACCGGGUAUAAAUAGGCGCGUUUCGUUCAAACGAUCGUACAAAUGCGUUGAAACGUUUCCUAUUGUUUUUCUCCCGACCUCGAAGAGAAUCGUGGAUACUCUUGCGUUGCGCUCUUUAUUAUACCAUCGGGUUUUGCGUUUGUAUAAAGGGUUCUAACCGUUCGAGUUCCAGGGCUCGUUGAGAAAACACAGUCGAAAAAUGGCAAACUUGAAUAAUUUUUCUUUAACACUAAACCGACCGAUCUGUAAUGAUGAUUAGCGCGCAUUGACUCGUAAGAGUGAAAAGAUAGAAUUCAUUUGGAUUUUGUACAGUUUUAAUUAUGUGACUUGUUUCAAUAAUAUAAUUUAACACUAAACCGACCGAUCUGUGUGUAAUGAUGAUCAGCGCGCAUUGACUCAUAAGAGUGAAAAGAUGGAAUUCAUUUGGAUUUUGUACAGUUUUAAUUAUGAGACUUGUUUCAAUAAUAUAAUUUGACACUAAACCAAUCGACUUGUAAUGAUGAUUAGUGCGCAUCGACUCAUAAGAGUGAAAAGAUAGAAUUCGUUUGGAUUUUGUAAAGUUUUAAUUAUGCGACUUGUUUCAAUAAUAUAAUUUAUUCGAUCAUUUUUCACGAAGAAGUCUUCAAAGUUUGUAGUAUCGUGAAAUAAAAAAAUCGUUCAUUUUGACCGCGGUAGAUUUAGUGUUAAAAACUGUUGGUCAUAAUUCUAUCGAAAACCAACGCAUGUUUUGAAAACAAUUAUUUAAGUUUUCCAUAUAUAUAUAUAUUAGAAAAUAGCAAUAAAUUACAACAAAAUCGUGAGUGAGUCAAAUUGACUCGUUUCGGCAAUUUAGUGUUAAAAUCGAUUGCGAAGAGAACCAAGCGGCGCCGUAGCGCUCGUGAAGGUUGACGAACAAAACAAAACUAAAAAAGGAAAAAAACAGCUAUGCGAUGUACGUCGUGUGUAGGAAAGUUUGGGUACGACACCAAAUCUAAACAGAGUGAUCGCGCUGCUUUUUUAAUGUAAUGUAACCAUUUUUUAUGAUUUUAUACUGCUAUUAUUGUUAGUAUUAUUAUUAUUGUUAUUAUUAUUACUGUUAUUAUUAGUAUUAUUAUUGUAAUUACUACUACCAUUAUUAUUACUGCGUUCAAUUUUUGUAGAGAUAUUGUAAGGACCUUUGGUCCGUUGAUGUUAAAUAAAUCAAUCAAUCAAUAAAU